rnacentral:rRNA from 1 species
AACGAACGCUGGCGGCAUGCCUAACACAUGCAAGUCGAACGAGACCUUCGGGUCUAGUGGCGCACGGGUGCGUAACGCGUGGGAACCUGCCUUUAGGCUCGGAAUAACUCAGAGAAAUUUGAGCUAAUACCGGAUGAUGUCUUCGGACCAAAGAUUUAUCGCCUUUAGAUGGGCCCGCGUUGGAUUAGCUAGUUGGUGGGGUAAAGGCCUACCAAGGCGACGAUCCAUAGCUGGUCUGAGAGGAUGAUCAGCCACACUGGGACUGAGACACGGCCCAGACUCCUACGGGAGGCAGCAGUGGGGAAUAUUGGACAAUGGGCGAAAGCCUGAUCCAGCAAUGCCGCGUGAGUGAUGAAGGCCUUAGGGUUGUAAAGCUCUUUUACCCGAGAUGAUAAUGACAGUAUCGGGAGAAUAAGCGCCGGCUAACUCCGUG